rnacentral:tRNA from 1 species
GGAAGAUCCUCGUCCCCGGUGGGACGGCCGGACUUCAAAUCCGGUCGGGGCCGCCAGCGGCCCUAGGCAGGUUCGAAUCCUGUGAUCUUCCGCCA